UAGAGUUGUAAAACUCCCUAAACCCAUGUGAAUCUACCUGAAGUUUGUUGCUUUGGCAGGCGGCCCCAGGGCGGGGCCUGACGCCUCCUAGCGAGGCGGCCUGCCAGAGGACCAAAGACUCUGUCACGUUUGAUACUACUCUGAGUUAAAAAUUAAAUCAGUCA
rnacentral:misc_RNA from 1 species